rnacentral:rRNA from 1 species
CCUACGGGAGGCAGCAGUGAGGAAUAUUGGGCAAUGGACGAGAGUCUGAACCAGCCAAGUAGCGUGAAGGAUGACUGCCCUAUGGGUUGUAAACUUCUUUUAUAUGGGAAUAAAAUGUUCCACGUGUGGGAUUUUGUAUGUACCAUAUGAAUAAGGAUCGGCUAACGCCGUGCCAGCAGCCGCGGUAAUACGGAGGAUCCGAGCGUUAUCCGGAUUUAUUGGGUUUAAAGGGAGCGUAGGUGGAUUGUUAAGUCAGUUGUGAAAGUUUGCGGCUCAACCGUAAAAUUGCAGUUGAAACUGGCAGUCUUGAGUACAGUAGAGGUGGGCGGAAUUCGUGGUGUAGCGGUGAAAUGCUUAGAUAUCACGAAGAACUCCGAUUGCGAAGGCAGUUCACUGGACUGCAACUGACACUGAGGCUCGAAAGUGUGGGUAUCAAACAGGAUUAGAUACCCGGGUAGUC